GAUGAACGCUGGCGGCGUGCCUAAUACAUGCAAGUCGAGCGAACGGACGAGAAGCUUGCUUUUCUGAUGUUAGCGGCGGACGGGUGAGUAACACGUGGAUAACCUACCUAUAAGACUGGGAUAACUUCGGGAAACCGGAGCUAAUACCGGAUAAUAUUUUGAACCGCAUGGUUCAAAAGUGAAAGACGGUCUUGCUGUCACUUAUAGAUGGAUCCGCGCUGCAUUAGCUAGUUGGUAAGGUAACGGCUUACCAAGGCAACGAUGCAUAGCCGACCUGAGAGGGUGAUCGGCCACACUGGAACUGAGACACGGUCCAGACUCCUACGGGAGGCAGCAGUAGGGAAUCUUCCGCGAUGGGCGAGAGCCUGACGGAGCAACGCCGCGUGAGUGAUGAAGGUCUUCCGAUCGUAAAACUCUGUUAUUAGGGAAGAACAUAUGUGUAAGUAACUGUGCACAUCUUGACGGUACCUAAUCAGAAAGCCACGGCUAACUACGUG
rnacentral:rRNA from 1 species